AUGGCCAGUCAACAGCUGAACAUACGGGCGUUAAUGAGCCAGUUAACUGACCUGAAAUCCGAACUUGAACAACUAGAGGAAGCUUAUAAAGAGAUUCAGAUCAACACCCAACAAGCACCAGAAAACAACGUGGAAGCGGAUACCUCAGAGGAACUACAAGCCACUCGGGGCCAAGCUCAACCUCGAGGAAAGGGGAGAAAAAAAGCUGUAUCUACUGAAAAGGUGCAAGACGUAGCAAAAAGUGAAUCAACAAAGACGAGUGUGAAAGGUGAUCAUGCAAAGAAAAACACAAGUGAAACUCUGAAGACAAAACAGAAAUCUGGUGCUACGGCAGAGAAGCCAGUAAAGUCGGUUAAAGCAGCCAGAGGGCCACAGAAGAAGAAAGUCAUGGAGACAGAAUCAAAUCCACAAGAGUCUGUACAAGCUGUGAGAGGCCGACGAAAGCCUCCUGGAGCGACUCAGGCUGUAGCUUUACAACCGAAAAAUCUAAGCAAAGUGAGAACUGGGGAAGCUCAGUCCACGUCGCAGCAGGCGGCUCCGUCGCGCAGAGGACAGAAAGCUGCUGUGGCUGCAGAUGAUGCUGGAGAGGAGGCACAAAACUCUGGGCUGAGGAGAUCCAAGAGGAUUGCCAACAGGAGGUGA
rnacentral:lncRNA from 15 species